GAUGAACGCUGGCGGCGUGCCUAAUACAUGCAAGUCGAGCGAACGGACGAGAAGUUUGCCUCUCUGAUGUUAUCGGCGGACGGGUGUGUAACACGUGGAUAAUCUAUCUAUGCGACUGGGAUCACUUCGGGACACCGGCUCUAAUCCCGUAUGAUAUUUUGAACCGCAUGGAUCAAAAGUGAAAGACAGUUUUGCUGUCACUUAUAGAUGGAUCCGCGCUGCAUUAGCUAGUUGGUAAGGUAACGGCGUACCAAGGCAACGAUGCAUAGCCGACCUGAGGGGGGGAUCGGCCACACUGGAACUGGAACACGGCCCAGACUCCUACGGGAGGCAGCAUUAGGGAAUCUUCGGCAAUGGGCGAAAGCCUGACGGAGCAACGCCGCGUGAGUGAUGAAGGUCUUCGGAUCGUAAAACUUUGUUAUUAGGGAAGAACAUAUGUGGAAGUAACUGUGCACAUCUUGACGGUACCUAAUCAGAAAGCCACGGCUAACUACGUG
rnacentral:rRNA from 1 species